rnacentral:lncRNA from 1 species
GAAAUUUAAAAUUUGAAAAUUAUAAUUUGAAAUUUGAUAUUUGAAAAACAAGAUUUGAAAUUACAAAAUUAGAAAAUUUGAAAUUUAAAAUUUUGAAAUUAGAAAUUUAAAAUUUGAAGUUUAAAAUUUGAAAUUAAGAUUAAAAUUGAAUUUUAGAAUUUUUAAAUUUGAAAUUGAAAAUCUAGCUUUAAACUUAAAAUUUUAUGUUGAAAUUUAAAAUUUAGAGCUUAAUAUAUCUUUGGAGUAAGGGAACCCGAUAAUGGUGAAAUUUUUUUUCUUUUGUUAGAGUGGAUUGUAAUUUUACUCUAUUUUUUGAAAUAUUAUAUAACUAUGCUCCAAAAUUUACGUAAUUUUUUUUCUCCCAAAUGUUUCGCAGAAUAAUUUUCCUAUUGGUAGAAUAGUUUAACUAUACUACAUUUUUAGGAGCAUCCA